CCCUUAGAUGUCCUGGGCCGCACGCGCGCUACACUGAUGCAUUCAACGAGUUUUACCUUGGCCGAGAGGCCUGGGCAAUCUUUUAAACCUGCAUCGUGAUAGGGAUAGAUUAUUGCAAUUAUUAAUCUUGAACGAGGAAUUCCGAGUAAACGCAAAUCAUCAAUUUGCAUUGAUUACGUCCCUGCCCUUUGUACACACCGCCCGUCGCACCUACCGAUUGAAUGGUCCGGUGAAGCCUCGGGAUUGUGGCCAGUUCACUUUAUUGGGAGUUGGCUGUGAGAACUUGUCUAAACCUUAUCAUUUAGAGGAAGGUGAAGUCGUAACA
rnacentral:rRNA from 1 species